rnacentral:rRNA from 1 species
GAUGAACGCUGGCGGCGUGCUUAACACAUGCAAGUCGAACGGGAAACCUUUUAUUGAAGCUUCGGCAGAUUUAGCUGGUUUCUAGUGGCGGACGGGUGAGUAACGCGUGGGUAACCUGCCCUAUACAGGGGGAUAACAACCAGAAAUGGUUGCUAAUACCGCAUAAGCGCACAGGGCCGCAUGGUCCGGUGUGAAAAACUCCGGUGGUAUAGGAUGGACCCGCGUUGGAUUAGCCAGUUGGCAGGGUAACGGCCUACCAAAGCGACGAUCCAUAGCCGGCCUGAGAGGGUGAACGGCCACAUUGGGACUGAGACACGGCCCAGACUCCUACGGGAGGCAGCAGUGGGGAAUAUUGCACAAUGGGGGAAACCCUGAUGCAGCGACGCCGCGUGAAGGAAGAAGUAUCUCGGUAUGUAAACUUCUAUCAGCAGGGAAGAUAGUGACGGUACCUGACGAAGAAGCCCCGGCUAACUACGCG